GACGUAGGUGGCGAACGUUAUCCGGAAUUAUUGGGCGUAAAGGGCGCGUAGGCGGCCUGUUAAGUCGAACGUGAAAUCCCCGGGCUCAACCCGGGAACUGCGUCCGAUACUGGCAGGCUUGAAUCCGGGAGAGGGAUGCGGAAUUCCAGGGUGUAGCGGUGAAAUGCGUAGAUAUCUGGAGGAACACCGGUGGCGAAGGCGGCAUCCUGG
rnacentral:rRNA from 1 species